rnacentral:rRNA from 1 species
GAUGAACGCUGGCGGCGUGCCUAAUACAUGCAAGUCGAGCGAACGGACGAGAAGCUUGCUUCUCUGAUGUUAGCGGCGGACGGGUGAGUAACACGUGGAUAACCUACCUAUAAGACUGGGAUAACUUCGGGAAACCGGAGCUAAUACCGGAUAAUAUUUUGAACCGCAUGGUUCAAAAGUAAAAGACGGUCUUGCUGUCACUUAUAGAUGGAUCCGCGCUGCAUUAGCUAGUUGGUAAGGUAACGGCUUACCAAGGCAACGAUGCAUAGCCGCCCCGAGAGGGUGAUCGGCCACACUGGAACUGAGACACGGUCCCGACUCCUACGGGGGGCCACGGUAGGGAAUCUUCCGCAAUGAGCGAACGCCUGACGGAGCAACGCCGCGUGAGUGCUGAAGGUCUUCGGAUCGUAAAACUCUGUUAUUAGGGAAGAACAUAUGUGUAAGUAACUGUGCACAUCUUGACGGUACCUAAUCAGAAAGCCCCGGCUAACUACGUG